rnacentral:rRNA from 1 species
UUAAUUCCAGGCUUAUUUUCCAAUAAGCCUACUUUGUUACGACUUAUCCCAAUAUAUUUGGGAGCGACGGGCGAUGUGUGCAUAAUUUAGAGCCUAAAUCAUUACUUUAAUCUAAAAAUAAUUACUUUUAAAUCCAAUUUCAAAGUAAUUACCAUAUACUUUUCCAAAAAUAAAUUUAAUGUAACCCAUCUCUACUUCUAUAUAGUUACACCUUGACCUGACAUUAUAUACAUAAUAUAAAAAGAAACUACCUAUUAAUAAUUUCAAUGACAGAGAUAUAUAAACAUAAAUAAAAGUUGAAUUAAUCGUGGAUUAUCGAUUAUAGGACAGGUUCCUCUAAAAGGAAAUUAAUUACCGCCAAAACCUUUUAUUUUGAAGAAAAUAACUAUUACUAAUACAACAAAAAUUAUGUUUUAAAUAAUAGGGUAUCUAAUCCUAGUUUCAGUUUAAAAUUUAAUAUAAUAUUGUACAAUAUAAUUUAAUAUAAAUAUAAAUUCCACUUUAAUAAAUAUAUAUACUAUAAUAAAUAUAACAAAUAAUAACGUCGUUAAAAUUAUUUAAAUUGAUUUGUCUAACCGCGACUGCUGGCACAAAUUAAGUCCAAUUAUAAAUGAUUAACUGAUCCUCCGUUAACGGAGGGUAUCAAAAUUUAAAACUGAGAUUAAAAUUAAUUUUUUUUAAAAAUUAAAUAACACAAAUAAUUUUACAUGAAUUAUUAACAAAUAAAUAAUUAAAUUAGCCAGGUUCAUACUAAUU